GAAGGACAUUCUGUUUCUAGGGAAGGACUGGGAAAGAGACCAGGCUGUUCCAGAUAGUUCUUUCUUAUCUCAGGACAUUGCAUUCACAACACAUUCUGCAAUCAUUCUUGAGAACUCUAAGUGAGAAAAUGGGGAGAAACGGGUUGGUCUAAGGUCACCCAGAGAAUUAUUCUCCAGUCAACAUAUUUCAGUAUAUCUGCAGCAAGAUCAUAUUUCAAGUGUGCUGGUAGAGCUUCUCCUUUGAUGGAAACAUUUGUUAUACAGAGAGUUGUUGUUAUGAUGAGUCUCCAAUGAACCUGCUGCAUCCCUGCUGCAUAUCUAUUAUCUGGGGUAAUCUUCCUAAAAAGCAGAGUGUCAAGCAGCAUGCCUGGUUAUUCCAACUUAUGCAGAAAUAGAAGUGUCCUAAGCUUGGGGCAAGAUGGCCGACUAGACACAGCAAGUGGAAUUACCGCCAGCAAGGGACUGAGACAACUGGCGCACUCCUAACAAAUCAUCCGAUGGAAGGCACCAGGAGUGGCCGAGGGAAGACACAGAAGGAAGCUGGGCUGAAACAGGAGGAACAUUGCACUGGGCUACCAUGCGCUGGGACUUGUUCCUGGCCCCCAAGGACUCUCAGGGAAUGGGUUUAAGGUGUACAUCUUCAGGUUCAACACAUGGACAAAUUUUGUGUUACUGAGGUUUGGCGUAUGAAUGAUCCCAUCACCCAGCUAGAAUUCAAGCCUUAGAUAUUUUGAGUUUUUAAAGAUCUAACGGUGGGAACCUAAGUCACACAACUACAAAAUUUAAAUACAAUGGGAAUAAUUGGAUGCUGAGGUGGUAGGCACCAAGUGACAGCACUCAACUAUCAACCUCAAGGUCAUCCUACAUUGGCCAAAGGAAUAAAGAAGAAUGACAGGGUUAAUGAUGGAUAUUUGAAUUAUUCUGAUUUUUCUGACGUGCAAGGUGUAGAUUCCUUUUGUUAGUCAUUCAAACCAACAGCAGCUUUAAGUAUGUAAUUUGUGAUAUCUAAUUAAUCAGUCAUUCAUAUCCAAGGUUAUAAAAACUCAUACUGUACAA
rnacentral:lncRNA from 1 species